UGCUUACUGUGAUGUUGGUGAGGCUCAAUCAGAUGACAAUGCUAAUGGAUAGCGUAGCCAUCAGGCUGAGCCGCUCCAAUAUCACAUUCUGUGAU
rnacentral:pre_miRNA from 1 species